rnacentral:rRNA from 3 species
GAGAUGGAUUGGUGCCUUCGGGAACUGUGAGACAGGUGCUGCAUGGCUGUCGUCAGCUCGUGUUGUGAAAUGUUGGGUUAAGUCCCGCAACGAGCGCAACCCUUAUCCUUUGUUGCCAGCGAUUAGGUCGGGAACUCAAAGGAGACUGCCAGUGAUAAACUGGAGGAAGGUGGGGAUGACGUCAAGUCAUCAUGGCCCUUACGACCAGGGCUACACACGUGCUACAAUGGCGCAUACAAAGAGAAGCGACCUCGCGAGAGCAAGCGGACCUCAUAAAGUGCGUCGUAGUCCGGAUUGGAGUCUGCAACUCGACUCCAUGAAGUCGGAAUCGCUAGUAAUCGUGGAUCAGAAUGCCACGGUGAAUACGUUCCCGGGCCUUGUACACACCGCCCGUCACACCAUGGGAGUGGGUUGCAAAAGAAGUAGGUAGCUUAACCUUCGGGAGGGCGCUUACCACUUUGUGAUUCAUGACUGGGGUGAAGUCGUAACAAGGUAACCGUAGGGGAACCUGCGGUUGGA